rnacentral:rRNA from 1 species
GACGAACGCUGGCGGCGUGCUUAACACAUGCAAGUCGAACGGAAAGGCCCUGCUUUUGUGGGGUGCUCGAGUGGCGAACGGGUGAGUAACACGGGAGUAACCUGCCCUUGACUUUGGGAUAACUUCAGGAAACUGGGGCUAAUACCGGAUAGGAGCUCCUGCUGCAUGGUGGGGGUUGGAAAGUUUCGGCGGUUGGGGAGGGACUCGCGGCUUAUCAGCUUGUUGGUGGGGUAGUGGCUUACCAAGGCUUUGACGGGUAGCCGGCCUGAGAGGGUGACCGGCCACAUUGGGACUGAGAUACGGCCCAGACUCCUACGGGAGGCAGCAGUGGGGAAUAUUGCACAAUGGGCGGAAGCCUGAUGCAGCAACGCCGCGUGCGGGAUGACGGCCUUCGGGUUGUAAACCGCUUUCGCCUGUGACGAAGCGUGAGUGACGGUAAUGGGUAAAGAAGCACCGGCUAACUACGUG